CUUUUGAAAUGAAAAUGCAGAGGAGACGGGGUCAUACCUGCUUCUGGAGACCGAAGAUGCUGCUUCUGGAGACCGAAGAUGUUGCUUCUGGAGACUGAGAUGCUUGCAGCGCUGCUUGAUGAUUUUCGCCUAAUGUUCCUCUGGUUCGGAGACAAUUUCAAGGAUAAUUCUCCUUACCGUGUCCUGCCUUCUUGUCCUCUCCUUCUCUGUGUAUUUGGAUUUGUGCUCUGUUUUCUCUGCCUUUUUCUUUUAACUCUGUUUUUCUGGGUUGAUUUUUUCGGUUCUCUCCCUCCUUUUCUUACUGUGUAUAAUUUCUCUGGUUUUCUUGCUUUUUUUCUUGCUCUCCCUCCUUUUUUUUUCUUUAGGUGUUCUUCUCCCUUUUAUAAACCCAGCCGAUUGCCCCCCAUCAGUCCUGCCUUUGCAGGACUGUUAUCUUCCACGAACGAGAUCGUGGGCGAGAGACGUGGUCCUCGAUUGGAUUGAAUCCGUUGCAGAUUUUCCAGCCUGUUGAAUCGGGAUGGAGAAGACGAACACGACUGUUCUACCCGCAGCGGCGACGUUUCGGCAGCAAUGGAUUUCACCAGCAACGACGCCGUUUCAAGCAGCAAAUGGACAUUUUUAUUUUGAUCCCUGAACUGUUGGAAAUUCGGCAAUUGGACCUUAAAAAAAAUUCCACUUAAUUUUGUCCCUUUGGAUUAAUUUCAAUUAAAUCCUUAAAUUAUAACACUGUUUACAAAACAGUCCUUAAUUCCUGGAUUGUUCAAUUUAGCCCUUAAUUAAAUCUUUAACCUUUCAAAAUUGAUCAAUUAACUCUCAAAUUACAUCCUCAAACUUCAAAUUUUGUUGUUUUAACCCCAUUGGCAACUAUAUUUAAUUUUUUUA